AUCCUGGCUCAGGAUGAACGCUAGCGGCGCGCUUAACGCAUGCAAGUCGAGCGAUGAGGCUCCCUUCGGGGAGUACAUCAGCGGCAGACGGGUGAGUAACACGUAGAUAACCUGCCCUCAAGACGGGGACAACCGGUGGAAACAGCGGCUAAUACCCGAUAUGCUCACAGGAUCGGGAGGUCGAGUGAGGAAAGGCUUCGGUGCUUGAGGAGGGAUCUGCGGCCCAUCAGCUAGUUGGUGAGGUAACGGCUCACCAAGGCGAAGACGGGUAGGGGGUGUGAGAGCAUGGCCCCCCACAAUGGGACUGAGACACGGCCCAUACUCCUACGGGAGGCAGCAGCGGGGAAUAUUGCGCAAUGGACGGAAGUCAGACGCAGCGACGCCGCGUGGGUGAGGAAGGCCUUCGGGUUGUAAAGCCCUUUUCAGGGGAGCGAGAAAGGACGGUACCCUUGGAAUAAGCGUCGGCUAACUACGUGCCAGCAGCCGCGGUAAGACGUAGGACGCAAGCGUUAUCCGGAUUUACUGGGCGUAAAGCGCCUGUAGGCGGUCAAGUAAGUCGGAUGUGAAAGCCCCGUGCCCAACGCGGGGAAGCCAUUCGAUACUGCGUGACUAGAGAACGGCAGAGGGAAACGGAAUUUCUGGUGUAGCGGUAAAAUGCGCAGAGAUCAGAAAGAACACCGAUGGCGAAGGCAGUUUCCUAGGCCGCAUCUGACGCUGAGAGGCGAAAGCUAGGGGAGCAAACAGGAUUAGAGACCCUGGUAGUCCUAGCUGUAAACGAUGGAUGCUAGGUGUGGGCCGGAAAGGUCCGUGCCGUAGUUAACGCGAUAAGCAUCCCGCCUGGGGAGUACGGCCGCAAGGCUAAAACUCAAACGAAUUGACGGGGACCCGCACAAGCAGCGGAGCGUGUGGUUUAAUUCGAUGCUACACGCAGA
rnacentral:rRNA from 1 species